UUCUAUCACUUAGUUUAGCAAAAUUGCCGGAUUUGUUCGCCGGUUACAAUCUCCGUUCGGUGGCGAAGCUAGAGAUGGCGGAGGUGGGUGGUAGCGGUGUUCACCGUUGGACGCUGGACAUCGCAACGGCGUUGGCGUUGCGAUAAGGAGAGACGGCGACGGCAAAGC